rnacentral:rRNA from 1 species
GCAGUCGAACGAAGAGCGAUGGAAGCUUGCUUCUAUCAAUCUUAGUGGCGAACGGGUGAGUAACGCGUAAUCAACCUGCCCUUCAGAGGGGGACAACAGUUGGAAACGACUGCUAAUACCGCAUACGAUCUAAUCUCGGCAUCGAGGAUAGAUGAAAGGUGGCCUCUACAUGUAAGCUAUCACUGAAGGAGGGGAUUGCGUCUGAUUAGCUAGUUGGAGGGGUAACGGCCCACCAAGGCGAUGAUCAGUAGCCGGUCUGAGAGGAUGAACGGCCACAUUGGGACUGAGACACGGCCCAGACUCCUACGGGAGGCAGCAGUGGGGAAUCUUCCGCAAUGGACGAAAGUCUGACGGAGCAACGCCGCGUGAGUGAUGACGGCCUUCGGGUUGUAAAGCUCUGUUAAUCGGGACGAAAGGCCUUCUUGCGAAUAGUGAGAAGGAUUGACGGUACCGGAAUAGAAAGCCACGGCUAACUACGUGCCAGCAGCCGCGGUAAUACGUAGGUGGCAAGCGUUGUCCGGAAUUAUUGGGCGUAAAGCGCGCGCAGGCGGAUAGGUCAGUCUGUCUUAAAAGUUCGGGGCUUAACCCCGUGAUGGGAUGGAAACUGCCAAUCUAGAGUAUCGGAGAGGAAAGUGGAAUUCCUAGUGUAGCGGUGAAAUGCGUAGAUAUUAGGAAGAACACCAGUGGCGAAGGCGACUUUCUGGACGAAAACUGACGCUGA